UUGCUCAGAUAUGACGAUGGACAUUGCAAAGAGUGGCGAACGGGCUGAGUAACACGUGGGAAACCUACCUCUUAGCAGGGGAUAACAUUUGGAAACAGAUGCUAAUACCGUAUAACAAUGACAACCGCAUGGUUGUUAUUUAAAAGAUGGUUCUGCUAUCACUAAGAGAUGGUCCCGCGGUGCAUUAGCUAGUUGGUAAGGUAAUGGCUUACCAAGGCGAUGAUGCAUAGCCGAGUUGAGAGACUGAUCGGCCACAAUGGGACUGAGACACGGCCCAUACUCCUACGGGAGGCAGCAGUAGGGAAUCUUCCACAAUGGGCGAAAGCCUGAUGGAGCAACGCCGCGUGUGUGAUGAAGGGUUUCGGCUCGUAAAACACUGUUGUAAGAGAAGAAUGACAUUGAGAGUAACUGUUCAAUGUGUGACGGUAUCUUACCAGAAAGGAACGGCUAAAUACGUGCCAGCAGCCGCGGUAAUACGUAUGUUCCAAGCGUUAUCCGGAUUUAUUGGGCGUAAAGCGAGCGCAGACGGUUAUUUAAGUCUGAAGUGAAAGCCCUCAGCUCAACUGAGGAAUUGCUUUGGAAACUGGAUGACUUGAGUGCAGUAGAGGAAAGUGGAACUCCAUGUGUAGCGGUGAAAUGCGUAGAUAUAUGGAAGAACACCAGUGGCGAAGGCGGCUUUCUGGACUGUAACUGACGUUGAGGCUCGAAAGUGUGGGUAGCAAACAGGAUUAGAUACCCUGGUAGUCCACACCGUAAACGAUGAGUGCUAGGUGUUUGAGGGUUUCCGCCCUUAAGUGCCGCAGCUAACGCAUUAAGCACUCCGCCUGGGGAGUACGACCGCCAAGGUUGAAACUCAA
rnacentral:rRNA from 1 species